UGGCGAACGGGUGAGUAACGCGUGAGUAACCUGCCCUGGAGUGGGGGACAACAGUUGGAAACGACUGCUAAUACCGCAUAAGCCCACGGAUCCGCAUGGAUCUGCGGGAAAAGGAUUUAUUCGCUUCAGGAUGGACUCGCGUCCAAUUAGCUAGUUGGUGAGGUAACGGCCCACCAAGGCGACGAUUGGUAGCCGGACUGAGAGGUUGAACGGCCACAUUGGGACUGAGACACGGCCCAGACUCCUACGGGAGGCAGCAUG
rnacentral:rRNA from 1 species